GUCUAUUUAAUUUUUUAUAAUUUCCUGUCUCUGUUGUUGAUCUAUGUAGCAUAUCAUAAUAUGAUGUUGAAUCCAAAGCAAGUAAUCGUUUAGUCUUAUAUAUCCGUGGGGGUGAUAACUAUGUCCCUUGGUGGCAAAUCAUAGGUUAGUGACUUAUUUUUAAGAAACUUUUUACCAUGCUUAUUACCUUCAUCGAUCACGCGAGCCAUCCCUUCUUUGAAUUCAUUUACGGCGUUGUCGGGAAUGUUUUGGCGUUUGAGUUGGUCUGCAGCAUGUUGAAGACUGGCUUUAGCUAGUAAACUAAGUCUGUGGAGAUGUUUAGGUUCGGCGUUUACGAAGGAGGGGCCCUUUUCCAGAAUGUUUUUAAGACCAUCGUUCAACGCUUGAGACGAUAUGUUUUUGAAUCCUUGUGGCUUGUUGGAAGUUGAUGUUGACGAAGUGUGGUGGCAUUG